UUUGGGCUUGCCUACAGACCACUGCCACACCAGCUUGCUAGGUCACUCUUUUCAAGAUAUUCUUUAGCCAGAACAUAGCCUCAUGGGGAAUCCUCAGAACCAGAAAUCUGAGACUUCAUCUAAAAGAAUGAAAGUUCAGGGCUGCAGAGAUGGCCCAGAGGACAAGAGCACUGACUCCUCUUCCAGAGGUCCUAAGUUCAAUUCCCAGCAAGACAUGGUGAUUCACAAUCAUCUGUAAUGAAAUCUGAUGCCCUCUUCUGGCCUGCAGGCAUACAUGCAGGCAGAAUACUACAUAAAAUUGAUAAAUCUUCAAAAAAGUAAAAGAAUGAAAAUUUAUACUUAAAGUAAUAAGCAUCUCCAUAAAACUAGAAUUCAGAAUUGUCCUGAAACUAUCAAUUCUUUACUACAUAUAAUGACAAUUUCUCACUCGUUUUUAAAGUUAAUCAACAAUAAUAGGCAUAGAUGAUAGAUCAAUAGGUGGUAGAUAGACAGAUAGAUAGAUAGAUAGAUAGAUAGAUAGAUAGAUAGAUAGAUAGAUAGAUAGAUAGACUAUAAAAAGGCAGUAGAUGAUAUACAUCAUCUAUAGUGAUAUAUUGUUUAGGAUCUAAAAAAAGCUGGCCUGGAGAUCAGACUCAAAGCUAGCCACAGCCUUAAAGGCCAGGUAAUGUUGGCACACACCUUUAAUAUCAGGACUCAGGAAACAGAGGUAGAUGUAUCUCUGUGAGUUCAAGGCCACCCAGAGCUAUAUGAUUAUGAAUCAGUCUAAAGGGAAACAGAACUCAGACUUUUACUCCCACCACUAAAGAGGUAUAUAAGAAGGAGCCCAGGGUCUCAUGCAGGAUUCAGUAUUGGACUUUCAGUCUUAGGUGAUUAGUCACCAGCUAAAUUGAGGUUAGGAUUUCCCCAGCCCUUGUAGAGGUAAGAGAUCACUGGCAGAUUGACUGCUUUGCUUCUCUGCUCUUCAGCUUGAGUCCCAGUAUCUGUCUCUGGAUUUAUAUUAUAAUAUUCAUGUUACAAUCAUCUAUUAUAUAACUAAGCAUUAUGCAAGUAAUGCAAGUUAACAAACAAAUAUAUUUGACCUAUUCCUGGUUAGAACAUUCUUUUGAGAACAAGAAACAAUACAGCUGUUCUUAAGUAAUCGAGAUAUACAUUGUGAUACCUAACCAAAAUCAAAAGUAUGGUAUCUAGCAUUUACUUAAUACUUAACAGCCAAUAAAGACAGUGUUAAAUUACUUCAGUCAAUGAUUUACUAUUCAUUCUGACCUUACAGGAUUCACAGAUUUCUUGCUAUUAAAAUGAAGGAAUUGAAAAGAAGAAUUUCAACAUCAUAUACCAAAUAUAUUCUGGACAGGAAUGAAAUCCGAGAACCUAGUUUAAGCAAAAUGAUGUAAACAUUUUAUGUGACCUCUAUUUAUUUCCCUUGCAGAGCAAUGAAAGGCAAAGAAAUAUCAAGAUAUAUCUUAGGAAGAUUUAGUUAGCACUGCUUUUUCUCUUAAAGAUAAGUUGUAUUUUUGAUCAUAAAUACUUUAGUUUUCAAGUUAUAAUCCUAUAUCCUUCUGCAUACAUAUUUAAU